UGUAAAGUGUAGGCUGAUCUUACAGUUGUGUAAGCACAGCUUCCCUCACCCCGGGACAUAAUUUGGACAGUAAUUCAAGAUCACUAUGUUCUGCCUAUCUUGGCCUGAUAACACAGUGAGCAGCUAGAAGCUGUUUUGUGGACGAACUGCUAGCCAACACAUUUGCUUCCUUAUGGCAGUAGCCAACAAUCUCCCAGGAGUAUAAGCCCUCUGUGCUGGAUGCCACUCAUGAUAGUUUGGUUAUACAAUGAUUUUGGAUGCAGCCUGUGAUCUAAGGAAAAAUGAUUGGGCUCAGGGAAGACUUGACAUGUGAAAAACAAGUAAUGAAACAAAAUGGAAAAAAAGAAAUAAAAACAACUCAAGAAGAGAUGAUAAAAUGCCUUUGGUUUGUGCUGCUGGAUUUUGAAGAUGACAAUUAAUAAAUAUAAUUGAAUGUAACUAAUAUUUUUAAGUUUAGCUGGUGAAGCAAUUUGAGGCACAGGAACUUGGAAAGAGUUGCACCUUCCAAAUGUUGAGGCUAGCAAAAAACCAGAAAGAUCCCAAGGGACUGCUCUAAUGUAUGUAUUGGGGAAGCAUCACUUUGUGGGCCAUUGCUGAAGCCCAGAGUAGCCACACUGCCUCCCUCUCCUGAAAAAUCCCCUGUUGCCAAUGGCCCCAG